rnacentral:lncRNA from 1 species
CGCGCGCCCCUCCGGCGCUUGUCGCAGAGGCUGCCGGGAGACGUAGUCUUGUAACGCUCUCUCGCCGGACAUUCCUAAUGGUUAGCGCCCAGCCUGUGAAGAGUCGGGGGUCGGGGAGGGGGUCUCGCUAAGAAGGAGGUUUGCAGACCAUGGCAAAGACUGGAGCUAGAGAUUCGCUGGCCUUGAAGAAGCAAGCUGUCAUGUUGCGAACUGCCUAUGGAGAAAACUAAAUGGCAGGGAACUGCAGACGGCUUCUAGAACUUGAGCGCAGCCUGCAGCUGACAACCAGUAAGAAGCCAGGGCCCUCAGUCACACAACCACAAGGAAAUGAAUUCUGCCAACAACCUGAGAGGUGGCCUCCAGAUGAGAAGACAGCCUGACUUAAACCUUGAUAGCAGUUUUGUGAGACCCUGAGCAAAGAAAACAGAUAAACUGUGCGUAGACUCCUGGUCUACAGAAACUGUGAGAUAAUAAAUGUGUCUUAAGAUACUA